AUUGAACGCUGGCGGCAUGCCUUACACAUGCAAGUCGAACGGCAGCACGGGAGCAAUCCUGGUGGCGAGUGGCGAACGGGUGAGUAAUAUAUCGGAACGUGCCCAGUCGUGGGGAUAACGUAGCGAAAGCUACGCUAAUACCGCAUACGAUCUAAGGAUGAAAGCGGGGGAUCGCAAGACCUCGCGCGAUUGGAGCGGCCGAUAUCAGAUUAGGUAGUUGGUGAGGUAAAGGCUCACCAAGCCAACGAUCUGUAGCUGGUCUGAGAGGACGACCAGCCACACUGGAACUGAGACACGGUCCAGACUCCUACGGGAGGCAGCAGUGGGGAAUUUUGGACAAUGGACGCAAGUCUGAUCCAGCCAUUCCGCGUGCAGGAUGAAGGCCCUCGGGUUGUAAACUGCUUUGUACGGACGAAAAGGUUUCUAUUAAUACUAGGAGCUCAUGACGGUACCUAAGGAAUAAGCAACCGGCUAACUAACGUGCC
rnacentral:rRNA from 1 species